rnacentral:rRNA from 1 species
GACGAACGCUGGCGGCGUGCUUAACACAUGCAAGUCGAACGGAAAGGCCCUGCUUUUGUGGGGUGCUCGAGUGGCGAACGGGUGAGUAACACGUGAGUAACCUGCCCUUGACUUUGGGAUAACUUCAGGAAACUGGGGCUAAUACCGGAUAGGAGCUCCUGCUGCAUGGUGGGGGUUGGAAAGUUUCGGCGGUUGGGGAUGGACUCGCGGCUUAUCAGCUUGUUGGUGGGGUAGUGGCUUACCAAGGCUUUGACGGGUAGCCGGCCUGAGAGGGUGACCGGCAACAUUGGGACUGAGAUAGGCCCAAGACUCCGACGGGGGGCAGCAGUGGGGAAUUUGGCACAAGGGGCGGAAGCCUGAUGCAGCAACCCCGGGUGGGGGAGGACGGCCUUGGGGUGGUAAACCGCUUUCGCCUGUGACGAAGCGGGAGUGACGGUAAUGGGUAAAGAAGCCCCGGCUAACUACGUG